rnacentral:snRNA from 1 species
AUACUUACCUGGCAGGGGAGAUACCAUGAUCAUGAAGGUGGUUUUCCAAGGGCGAGGCUUAUCCAUCACACUCCGGACGUGCUGACCCCUGUGAUUUCCCCAAAUGUGGGAAACUUGACUGCAUAAUUUGUGGUAUUGGGGGACUGCAUUCUCACUUUCCCCUG